AACGGUGGGCACUAGUUGUGGGGACCUUCCACGGUCUCUGCGACGCAGCUAACGCAUUAAGUGCCCCGCUUGGGGAGUACGAUCGCAAGAUUAAAACUCAAAGGAAUUGACGGGGCCCCGCACAAGCAGCGGAGCAUGCGGCUUAAUUCGACGCAACGCGAAGAACCUUACCAAGGCUUGACAUAUACAGGAAUAUGGCAGAGAUGUCAUAGCCGCAAGGUCUGUAUACAGGUGGUGCAUGGUUGUCGUCAGCUCGUGUCGUGAGAUGUUGGGUUAAGUCCCGCAACGAGCGCAACCCUCGUUCUGUGUUGCCAGCAUUUAGUUGGGGACUCACAGGAGACUGCCGGGGUUAACUCGGAGGAAGGUGGGGAUGACGUCAAAUCAUCAUGCCCCUUAUGUCUUGGGCUGCACGCAUGCUACAAUGGCUGGUACAAACGGCUGCGAUACCGCAAGGUGGAGCGAAUCCGAUAAAGCCAGUCUCAGUUCGGAUUGGGGUCUGCAACUCGACCCCAUGAAGUCGGAGUUGCUAGUAAUCGUAGAUCAGCAACGCUACGGUGAAUACGUUCCCGGGGCUUGUACACACCGCCCGUCACGUCACGAAAGUCGGUAACACCCGAAGUCAGUGGCCCAACCGCAAGGAGGGAGCUGCCGAAG
rnacentral:rRNA from 1 species